rnacentral:tRNA from 1 species
GCACCUAUAGCUUAAUCGGACAGAGCAGAAGCUUGCGGAGCUUCAGAUCCCUGUUCAACUCAGGGUAGGUGCA